rnacentral:misc_RNA from 1 species
AAGUCGUAACAAGGUUUCCGUAGGUGAACCUGCGGAAGGAUCAUUAUCCUAUUGCGUAGAGCUCUUCUGAGCACUACAAGCGCUACGCUCUAUAGUGUUGCGUUACAAUGCACAGCGAGAGGGCCUCGUCCCGCUUGCUUCAAAUCCGUGCUCGCUCGAGUCCGGUCGGGUACCUAAGUGUGCGCAAGCACACACAAGCAGCAGAUGCUCGUCUGCUGUGUGGUGUAAAGAUUAUUCUCGCUGUUAGAAUAACGCCCGCUUAGCGCAGUCAUUUCUACUACAAAUUUAUAUCGCAUUUAACUAUGUUGUAUGUGUAAAGCACUGUCUCACUUACUUACGAGCGAGAUAUUAACACAAAUACAACCCUAUGCGGUGGAUCAUUUGGCUC